UACGGAGGGUGCAAGCGUUGCUCGGAAUUAUUGGGCGUAAAGGGUAGGUAGGUGGUCUCAUUUGUCUGAGGUGAAAGCCUUGAGCUUAACUCAAGAAGUGCCUCAGAAACGGUGAGACUGGAGUCCUGGAGAGGGUCGUGGAAUUCCCGGUGUAGCGGUGAAAUUCGUAGAUAUCUGGAGGAACACCGGUGGCGAAGGCGGCGAUCUGGCCCAACACUGACACUGAGACCCGAAAGCAUGGGGAUCAAACAGG
rnacentral:rRNA from 1 species